GGAGCGGAGAACUUUCUAGAGAAGCGGUUAAACGGGUUGAGGCUCUUGGACUGAGGGUGAAUAGGAAGGAAGGUUUUCUCAACCUGCUCGCUGCUCCUAUGAGAUGCCUGUGGAGUUCUGAGUCUGUGUGGCUAAAACCAUGAAGUUCUGAUUACCGGAACAGUGCUGGCUUGAUGGAAGAUCUGUCUGGAGAGGUCCUGACUCUGCCCAGCAGUUUAGUACCCAGUUAUACAGCCUGGUCCUGGAUCGCAUACUGUGGAGACAGGGAAGCAAACACAGAGGCCAGUCCAGCUUGUCAGACUCGAGAGAGAAUGUCACACCAAAACAGCAGAGGACCUGGUUCCGUCUUGUCUAGAUUACAUUUCCCCACACUGUGAGAUCACCACUGGCAGUUUGGGCUUAUUGUUGGGGCCUGUGGGAACAUUCUCGAUCUUCCUCAUCACUAGAAGUCCGUCAAUGAUUUUUCCAAACACUACAUGCUUUCCAUCCAGCCAAUCACACUUAGAACACGUGAUAAAGAACUGGCAGCCAUUUGUACUGGGACCACUAUUUGCCAUGGAAAGCAGGCCUGGAGCAGAGUGUCUAAGUUUAAAAUUUUCAUCCGCAAAUGGACCCCGGUAAAUACUGGCGACUCCAGUGCCAUCGCCAUUAACAAAAUCUCCACCCUGAAUCAUGAAAUCCUUUAUGACUCUGUGGAAGGUGCUUCCUUUGUAUCCUAUUGGAACGCCAUCUUUUCUGAACUCUCCGGUGCAGAAUUGCCUAAAGUUCUCUGCCGUCUUAGGCACCACGACUGCAAAGAGCUCGAUCUUCAUGCGACCAACUUCCUGGCCGCCAAUGCUGACAUCGAAGAAGACCACUGGAUGGACUGGACUUGAAUUUGCCACUGCCAUGGCUUUGACCCGGAAAUCGGAAGACAUACUUUUAAUCUGGGCCACACCUUCUGUAGGAAGCCUAUAUAAGGACAAUGGGAGGAGGAAGUUUUAGUCUUUGGCCUGCUUGCCCUAACCUUGCUAGCACAUCCCUUUCUGCGCUGGCAUUGGAACCUACUUCUUUGGGAUUUCAGCAGAUACAGGAGAUGAGCGGAAACACCCAGGCUCAUGGGACUGAGCAACUAUUGGAUUCUUGGACUUCCCAUUCACAGCUAACCAUUGUUGGAUUAGUUGGACUUGAGUACAGCAUCCCAGAAGCAACAACAAUAUGUCACUCAUUUGACACGCAAGUAUCUGAGUGAUGACCACUGCUGUACUGUCUUCCAUGGGGAGUCUACUUCCAUUCACCGGGACUAGGUGAGGGAGGGAGGAGAAGGAGGAGUCAAGCAGAGUCCAACCCAGUUCUUAAAGGACUUGACCUAGGAGGAGUCACUAUGGGAUCUAGCCUCCCUUCUAACCUUAUAACUGGGAGUUGGAUUUUGAGAUAUUAGGAAAAAGUAAAUAAAAUCCAUGAAGCAGCCCUACACUCUGUCUGGUCACAGAGCCAUUGCUUGUGGAGACAAUGGCAGGGGACACUUCAUGCCAGUGUCACAUCUGAGGAACUCCCGAAGCAGAAUGAGACCAGCAUCCCUCGCAAGAAUAGGAAGAGGCCUAAUCUAUAGGAACCAAGGGAUGAGAAAUGAAGACAAAAAAAUGUAGACAGAGGUCACAUUCAGGGUCUCUCCACAGACCUGAGUGGAGGAGAAGCCCCCGUGGGAGUUUUGUUGCUUGCUGAUCCACUUCACAAUCUUGGAUGCUGUGGACAGGUCUGAUGAAGACAGGUCCCGUGUGGGCCGGGA
rnacentral:lncRNA from 1 species